GGUGCGUUAGGGAAGAGGUUUAACCCGCUCCAUUUGGGAUGGAGAGAUCGCUGGUUCGAAUCCGGCACGUGCCC